rnacentral:rRNA from 1 species
AGAGUUUGAUCCUGGCUCAGAACGAACGCCGGCGGCGUGCUUAACACAUGCAAGUCGAACGCGAAAGCCUGGGCAACCGGGCGAGUAGAGUGGCGAACGGGUGAGUAAUACGUGAGUAACCUACCCUUGAGUGGGGAAUAACUCCUCGAAAGGGGAGCUAAUACCGCAUAAGACCACGACUUCUUCGGGAGUUGCGGUCAAAGGUGGCCUCAUCUAUACAGAGCGUUUGGGCACAGAUUCGGCUCGCGAUGGCAAGAAUCUGUACCCCAGCGCUUUGUCAGUGAAGCUAUCGCUUGAGGAGGGGCUCGCGGCCCAUCAGCUAGUUGGUAGGGUAACGGCCUACCAAGGCGACGACGGGUAGCUGGUCUGAGAGGACGACCAGCCACACGGGAAUUGAGAUACGGUCCCGACUCCUACGGGAGGCAGCAGUGGGGAAUCUUGGGCAAUGGGGGCAACCCUGACCCAGCGACGCCGCGUGGGGGAUGAAGGCCUUCGGGUUGUAAACCCCUGUUCGGUGGGACGAACAUUCUCCCAUGAAUAGUGGGAGAAUUUGACGGUACCACCAGAGUAAGCCCCGGCUAACUCCGUGCCAGCAGCCGCGGUAAUACGGAGGGGGCAAGUGUUGUUCGGAAUUACUGGGCGUAAAGGGCGCGCAGGCGGCUUGGCAAGUCGAGUGUGAAAGCCCUCAGCUUAACUGAGGAAUGGCGCUCGAAACUACCUCGCUUGAGGGCGGGAGAGGGAAGUGGAACUCUCGGUGUAGGGGUGAAAUCUGUAGAUAUCGAGAGGAACACCGGUGGCGAAGGCGGCUUCCUGGCCCGUACCUGACGCUGAGGCGCGAAAGCGUGGGGAGCAAACAGGAUUAGAUACCCCCGUAGUCC